AACUUAAAUGGCUAUUCCUCUGUGAAUCUUUUAAUGUCUCUAGUGGGUGUGCCAUGCAAAUGAUAUCCUGCAUUGAACCAUUUAUGCAGUUAUAUACGUUCAGCUCAACAACAUACCAGCAGUUUGUGUUCAUUAAUAGCAAAAGUUACCUUGAGAUGGGACUAGGCAGAGUUUUGAGUUACAUUGCUCUAGCAAUGUUCAUUCAAUAUUCCUGCAGUCAGACACUGAUCGAGUCCGAUUCAGUGAUCAUCAAACCUGAUCAGUCUCAUAAACUGACCUGCACAGCGUCUGGAUUUAACUUUGGUGGCUCUUGGAUGGCUUGGAUCAGACAGGCACCUGGAAAAGGGCUGGAAUGGGUUGCAACUAUCACAGACACCAGUGGUAGCAAGUAUUACUCCAGUGCAGUUAAUGGCCGCUUCACCAUGUCCAGAGACAACAGUAAGAUGCAGGUGUAUCUGCACAUGACCAGUGUGAGGACAGAAGACACUGCAGUGUAUUACUGCACUAGAGAAGCACAGUGACACAUGAGGUUGCAG